rnacentral:misc_RNA from 1 species
UACGAACUGUGCGAACGUUAUUCGGAAUCACUGGGCUUAAAGGGUGCGUAGGCGGCCUGUUCAGCAGGGUGUGAAAUGCCGGGGCUCAACCCCGGCACGGCGCCCUGGACUGGCGGGCUGGAGUGAGCUAGGGGUAUGCGGAACUGCCGGUGGAGCGGUGAAAUGUGUUGAGAUCGGCAGGAACGCCUGUGGCGAAAGCGGCAUACUGAGGCUUAACUGACGCUGAGGCACGAAAGCCAGGGGAGCGAACGGG